rnacentral:rRNA from 1 species
ACACGUGGUAUCCUGUCUGAAUAUGGGGGGACCAUCCUCCAAGGCUAAAUACUCCUGACUGACCGAUAGUGAACCAGUACCGUGAGGGAAAGGCGAAAAGAACCCCGGCGAGGGGAGUGAAAAAGAACCUGAAACCGUGUACGUACAAGCAGUGGGAGCACCUUCGGGUGUGACUGCGUACCUUUUGUAUAAUGGGUCAGCGACUUAUAUUCUGUAGCAAGGUUAACCGUAUAGGGGAGCCGCAGGGAAACCGAGUCUUAACUGGGCGUUAAGUUGCAGGGUAUAGACCCGAAACCCGGUGAUCUAGCCAUGGGCAGGUUGAAGGUUGGGUAACACUAACUGGAGGACCGAACCGACUAAUGUUGAAAAAUUAGCGGAUGACUUGUGGCUGGGGGUGAAAGGCCAAUCAAACCGGGAGAUAGCUGGUUCUCCCCGAAAGCUAUUUAGGUAGCGCCUCGUGAAUUCAUCUUCGGGGGUAGAGCACUGUUUCGGCUAGGGGGUCAUCCCGACUUACCAACCCGAUGCAAACUACGAAUACCGAAGAAUGUUAUCACGGGAGACACACGGCGGGUGCUAACGUCCGUCGUGAAGAGGGAAACAACCCAGACCGCCAGCUAAGGUCCCAAAGUCAUGGUUAAGUGGGAAACGAUGUGGGAAGGCACAGACAGCCAGGAUGUUGGCUUAGAAGCAGCCAUCAUUUAAAGAAAGCGUAAUAGCUCACUGGUCGAGUCGGCCUGCGCGGAAGAUGUAACGGGGCUAAACCAUGCACCGAAGCUGCGGCAGCGACACUAUGUGUUGUUGGGUAGGGGAGCGUUCUGUAAGCCUGCGAAGGUGACCUGUGAGGGUUGCUGGAGGUAUCAGAAGUGCGAAUGCUGACAUAAGUAACGAUAAAGCGGGUGAAAAGCCCGCUCGCCGGAAGACCAAGGGUUCCUGUCCAACGUUAAUCGGGGCAGGGUGAGUCGACCCCUAAGGCGAGGCCGAAAGGCGUAGUCGAUGGGAAACAGGUUAAUAUUCCUGUACUUGGUGUUACUGCGAAGGGGGGACGGAGAAGGCUAUGUUAGCCGGGCGACGGUUGUCCCGGUUUAAGCAUGUAGGCUGGUUGUCCAGGCAAAUCCGGAUAAUCAAGGCUGAGGUGUGAUGACGAGGCACUACGGUGCUGAAGUAACAAAUGCCCUGCUUCCAGGAAAAGCCUCUAAGCAUCAGGUAACAUCAAAUCGUACCCCAAACCGACACAGGUGGUCAGGUAGAGAAUACCAAGGCGCUUGAGAGAACUCGGGUGAAGGAACUAGGCAAAAUGGUGCCGUAACUUCGGGAGAAGGCACGCUGGUGUGUAGGUGAAGUCCCUGCGGAUGGAGCUGAGACCAGUCGAAGAUACCAGCUGGCUGCAACUGUUUAUUAAAAACACAGCACUGUGCAAACACGAAAGUGGACGUAUACGGUGUGACGCCUGCCCGGUGCCGGAAGGUUAAUUGAUGGGGUUAUCCGUAAGGAGAAGCUCUUGAUCGAAGCCCCGGUAAACGGCGGCCGUAACUAUAACGGUCCUAAGGUAGCGAAAUUCCUUGUCGGGUAAGUUCCGACCUGCACGAAUGGCGUAAUGAUGGCCAGGCUGUCUCCACCCGAGACUCAGUGAAAUUGAACUCGCUGUGAAGAUGCAGUGUACCCGCGGCAAGACGGAAAGACCCCGUGAACCUUUACUAUAGCUUGACACUGAACAUUGAGCCUUGAUGUGUAGGAUAGGUGGGAGGCUUUGAAGCGUGGACGCCAGUCUGCGUGGAGCCAACCUUGAAAUACCACCCUUUAAUGUUUGAUGUUCUAACGUUGGCCCCUGACCGGGGUUGCGGACAGUGUCUGGUGGGUAGUUUGACUGGGGCGGUCUCCUCCCAAAGCGUAACGGAGGAGCACGAAGGUUAGCUAAUCCUGGUCGGACAUCAGGAGGUUAGUGCAAUGGCAUAAGCUAGCUUGACUGCGAGCGUGACGGCGCGAGCAGGUGCGAAAGCAGGUCAUAGUGAUCCGGUGGUUCUGAAUGGAAGGGCCAUCGCUCAACGGAUAAAAGGUACUCCGGGGAUAACAGGCUGAUACCGCCCAAGAGUUCAUAUCGACGGCGGUGUUUGGCACCUCGAUGUCGGCUCAUCACAUCCUGGGGCUGAAGUAGGUCCCAAGGGUAUGGCUGUUCGCCAUUUAAAGUGGUACGCGAGCUGGGUUUAGAACGUCGUGAGACAGUUCGGUCCCUAUCUGCCGUGGGCGCUGGAGAAUUGAGGGGGGCUGCUCCUAGUACGAGAGGACCGGAGUGGACGCAUCACUGGUGUUCGGGUUGUCAUGCCAAUGGCACUGCCCGGUAGCUAAAUGCGGAAGAGAUAAGUGCUGAAAGCAUCUAAGCACGAAACUUGCCCCGAGAUGAGUUCUCCCUGAGACUUUAAGUCUCCUGAAGGAACGUUGAAGACGACGACGUUGAUAGGCCGGGUGUGUAAGCGCAGCGAUGCGUUGAGCUAACCGGUACUAAUGAACCGUGAGGCUUAACCUU